rnacentral:rRNA from 1 species
GCCCUUGAGGCGUGGCGUCCGGAGCUAACGCGUUAAGGCGACCGCCUGGGGAGUACGGCCGCAAGGUUAAAACUCAAAUGAAUUGACGGGGGCCCGCACAAGCGGUGGAGCAUGUGGUUUAAUUCGAUGCAACGCGAAGAACCUUACCUACUCUUGACAUCCAGAGAACUUAGCAGAGAUGCUUUGGUGCCUUCGGGAACUCUGAGACAGGUGCUGCAUGGCUGUCGUCAGCUCGUGUUGUGAAAUGUUGGGUUAAGUCCCGCAACGAGCGCAACCCUUAUCCUUUGUUGCCAGCGGUUCGGCCGGGAACUCAAAGGAGACUGGCAGUGAUAAACUGGAGGAAGGUGGGGAAGCCGUCAAGUCAUCAUGGCCCUUACGAG